CCUACGGGAGGCAGCAGUGGGGAAUAUUGCACAAUGGGGGAAACCCUGAUGCCGCGCCGCCGCGUGAGUGAAGAAGUAUUUCGGUAUGUAAAGCUCUGUCAGCAGGGAAGAAAAUGACGGUACCUGACCAAGAAGCCCCGGCUCACUACGUGCCAGCAGCCGCGGGAAUACGUAGGGGGCAAGCGUUAUCCGGAUUUACUGGGUGUCAAGGGAGCGUAGACGGCAGGGCAAGUCUGGAGUGAAAGGCGGGGGCUCAACCCCCGGACUGCGUUGGAAACUGCCAGGCUGGAGUGCAGGAGAGGGAAGUGGAAUUCCUAGUGUAGCGGUGAAAUGCGUAGAUAUUAGGAGGAACACCAGUGGCGAAGGCGGCUUACUGGACUGUAACUGACGUUGAGGCUCGAAAGCGUGGGGAGCAAACAGGAUUAGAUACCCUAGUAGUC
rnacentral:rRNA from 1 species